rnacentral:rRNA from 1 species
CCUACGGGUGGCUGCAGUGGGGAAUAUUGCACAAUGGGCGCAAGCCUGAUGCAGCCAUGCCGCGUGUGUGAAGAAGGCCUUCGGGUUGUAAAGCACUUUCAGCGGGGAGGAAGGCGGUGAGGUUAAUAACCUCAUCGAUUGACGUUACCCGCAGAAGAAGCACCGGCUAACUCCGUGCCAGCAGCCGCGGUAAUACGGAGGGUGUAAGCGUUAAUCGGAAUUACUGGGCGUAAAGCGCACGCAGGCGGUCUGUCAAGUCGGAUGUGAAAUCCCCGGGCUCAACCUGGGAACUGCAUUCGAAACUGGCAGGCUAGAGUCUUGUAGAGGGGGGUAGAAUUCCAGGUGUAGCGGUGAAAUGCGUAGAGAUCUGGAGGAAUACCGGUGGCGAAGGCGGCCCCCUGGACAAAGACUGACGCUCAGGUGCGAAAGCGUGGGGAGCAAACAGGAUUAGAUACCCCUGUAGUC